rnacentral:rRNA from 1 species
ACUACGGGUGGCUGCAGUAGGGAAUUUUGCGCAAUGGGCGAAAGCCUGACGCAGCAACGCCGCGUGAUCGAGACGCCCUUCGGGGUGUAAAGAUCCUUCAGUCGGGACGAAACUUGACGGUACCCACAGAGGAAGCACCGGCUAACUCCGUACCAGCAGCCGCGGUCAUACGGGGGUGGCAAGCGUUGUCCGGAGUCACUGGGCGUAAAGAGUUCGUAGGCGGCACUGAAAGUCCGGUGUGAAAGGCAGAGGCUCAACUUCGGGACGGCACUGGAUACUUGCGGGCUGGAAUGCGGUAGAGGUAGGGGGAAUUCCUGGUGUAGCGGUGAAAUGCUUAGAUAUCAGGAGGAACAUCGGUGGCGUAGGCGCUUUACUGGGCCGUAAUUGACGCUGAGGAACGAAGGCCAGGGUAGCAAAUGGGAUUAGAUACCCGGGUAGUC